UUGAUCCUGGCUCAGGAUGAACGCUAGCGGCAGGCUUAACACAUGCAAGUCGAGGGGCAGCGGGGAGGAAGCUUGCUUUCUCCGCCGGCGACCGGCGCACGGGUGAGUAACACGUAUGCAACCUGCCCCUGUCAGGGGGACAACCCGCCGAAAGGCGGGCUAAACCCGCGUACAUGCCACCGGGGCAUCCCGGAGGCAGGAAAGGCUUCGGCCGGACAGGGAUGGGCAUGCGGCGCAUUAGGCAGUAGGCGGGGUAACGGCCCACCUAACCGACGAUGCGUAGGGGUUCUGAGAGGAAGGUCCCCCACACUGGUACUGAGACACGGACCAGACUCCUACGGGAGGCAGCAGUGAGGAAUAUUGGUCAAUGGUCGGGAGACUGAACCAGCCAAGCCGCGUGAGGGAGGAAGGUACAGAGUAUCGUAAACCUCUUUUGUCAGGGAACAAAGACUGGGACGCGUCCCCGGAUGAGUGUACCUGAAGAAAAAGCAUCGGCUAACUCCGUGCCAGCAGCCGCGGUAAUACGGAGGAUGCGAGCGUUAUCCGGAUUUAUUGGGUUUAAAGGGUGCGCAGGCGGUCUGUUAAGUCAGCGGUCAAAGCCCGGGGCUCAACCCCGGUCCGCCGUUGAAACUGGCAGUCUCGAGUUGGAGAGAAGUAUGCGGAAUGCGCGGUGUAGCGGUGAAAUGCAUAGAUAUCGCGCAGAACUCCGAUUGCGAAGGCAGCAUGCCGGCUCCACACUGACGCUGAGGCACGAAAGCGUGGGUAUCGAACAGGAUUAGAUACCCUGGUAGUCCACGCAGUAAACGAUGAAUGCUGGCUGUCCGGGGGGACUGACCCCUGGGUGGCGAAGCGAAAGCGAUAAGCAUUCCACCUGGGGAGUACGCCGGCAACGGUGAAACUCAAAGGAAUUGACGGGGGCCCGCACAAGCGGAGGAACAUGUGGUUUAAUUCGAUGAUACGCGAGGAACCUUACCCGGGCUCAAACGGGGAGUGGCGCAGGCAGAGACGCCUGUUUCCCACGGGACACUCCCCGAGGUGCUGCAUGGUUGUCGUCAGCUCGUGCCGUGAGGUGUCGGCUUAAGUGCCAUAACGAGCGCAACCCCCGCGUGCAGUUGCUAACAGUCAACGCUGAGGACUCUGCACGGACUGCCGGCGCAAGCCGCGAGGAAGGCGGGGAUGACGUCAAAUCAGCACGGCCCUUACGUCCGGGGCGACACACGUGUUACAAUGGGUGGUACAGCGGGAAGCCAGGCGGCGACGCCGAGCGGAACCCGAAAUCCACUCUCAGUUCGGAUCGGAGUCUGCAACCCGACUCCGUGAAGCUGGAUUCGCUAGUAAUCGCGCAUCAGCCAUGGCGCGGUGAAUACGUUCCCGGGCCUUGCACACACCGCCCGUCAAG
rnacentral:rRNA from 1 species